rnacentral:misc_RNA from 1 species
ACAGUAGAACCUGCCCUUUAUGCACCACAAGAACACAAAAGUAGAUUUAUUGAAUAGAUACAAAUCUCUACUUGUUCACUGCUAUCUUUCAAGCAUUACAGUUUCCAAAACUUUACUUUUUUUCUCCAAUCAACAACCCAAUAAUUCAAAAGCACAAAGGAAAGUAAUGUAAUUCAACAUUACAACGCAAGGGGAAUUUCUUUUCUUUUUUUUUUUUUUUUUAAGUAGACAAGAAAGCUACAAUCCAAUAAGUUUCUUACAGGCUCUAAUGAUUCUGCCUCUGCUGUUCUUUCUCUUCACAGAUCUUGUUGGUGAACCAUCAUCUUCAUCAUUUGUUGGUGAAGGUAAAGCUAAAGAUUGGUCAUGGAUCCUACAAUACCUCUCAGAAACAGAGGAGGAUCUUCUCAUAGAGAAAGCAUUCUUAACAGCAGAAUGAAGUGCAGAAGCUGAAGAAACUGAGGAGUUCCUCUUCAGCUUACAAGUAGUAAACAUGAUCUCUGCAUUACUGUUUUCUUUAUAAUCAUCUUCAUCUUGUAGCCAUGAAACUGAAUCCUGCAGGCCCUUGAUGUUGUUGCUGUUGUCGGUGGUGGUGGUGGUGGUGGUGGUUUUGGUACUAGUGUUGUUGUU